rnacentral:rRNA from 1 species
AAAAUUUUAAUAAUUUUGAAAUGGAUUUUUUUUGUUUUGGCAAGAGCAUGAGAGCUUUUACUGGGCAAGAAGACAAGAGAUGGAGAGUCCAGCCGGGCCUGCGCUUAAGUGCGCGGUCUUGCUAGGCUUGUAAGUUUCUUUCUUGCUAUUCCAAACGGUGAGAGAUUUCUGUGCUUUUGUUAUAGGACAAUUAAAACCGUUUCAAUACAACACACUGUGGAGUUUUCAUAUCUUUGCAACUUUUUCUUUGGGCAUUCGAGCAAUCGGGGCCCAGAGGUAACAAACACAAACAAUUUUAUUUAUUCAUUAAAUUUUUGUCAAAAAACAAGAAUUUUCGUAACUGGAAAUUUUAAAAUAUUAAAAACUUUCAACAACGGAUCUCUUGGUUCUCGCAUCGAUGAAGAACGCAGCGAAAUGCGAUACGUAAUGUGAAUUGCAGAAUUCCGUGAAUCAUCGAAUCUUUGAACGCACAUUGCGCCCCUUGGUAUUCCAGGGGGCAUGCCUGUUUGAGCGUCAUUUCCUUCUCAAACAUUCUGUUUGGUAGUGAGUGAUACUCUUUGGAGUUAACUUGAAAUUGCUGGCCUUUUCAUUGGAUGUUUUUUUUUUUCCAAAGAGAGGUUUCUCUGCGUGCUGGAGGUAUAAUGCAAUUACGGUCGUUUUAGGUUUUCCCAACUGCGGCUAAUCUUUUUUUAUACCGGAGCGUAUUGAACCGUUAUCGAAUAAGAAGAGAGCGUUCUAGGCGACCAAUGUUCUUAAAGUUUGACUUCAAUCAGGUAGAAGUACCCGCUGACUUAGCAUAUCAUAACGCGGAA